rnacentral:lncRNA from 1 species
UAAAGUCUCAAGAUUUUCCUCUCUCGGAAACAGGUGGUAUGGAAGAUGGAUGACCAUACACAUAUCUUAUCACUCCUGAAUCAGGUUAGUUUUCAGAAGACCCCAAGUAUUGUUUACAUAUUUUGUAAAGUAAAGCUAAUAAGAACCCUACUUAUUGGAUCUUUCUUGUUUACAGAGUGUAUCCACUGAUUUGUCAUGUUUAGUCAAAGUGGUGAAACGUAAGUUGACUUCCCUUAUGAUAGUUUACUUUGCUUUGCCAAUAUAAUCCCUUAUAAGAUCUUUAUUUCUGUGAUCCAAACUAUCCCACGUUUAUAUUAUGCUUCAAGUUAUUGUAUGGAUGUUUAGUUUCUAAGAUGACAUGGUUUGGUUUCAGGGUAGAGGCGAAACUUCUUGAGAAAGAUAACUUUAAACUAGAGAAAGAAUCUUAAUAAUAAUGAGGCCUUUGUCACACAAUAUAUUCCAGAGAUAAUAGUUUGCAAGUUGCCAAUAAAUUUUGCAAGUAGGCAUAGCACUACUGAUAUUCUCAUCGUCACUAUUCUUCAAAACCGACCCUGGUUGGUUGUUUUGAGCAAGAUGCUAGCAUAUUCUGAUUCUUACUUUCUCACUCUGAAUAAUUACAUCAGUAAAGAUUUGAUCAGGGUUUUAUUCCAUUGUUAACAUCUUUUGAUGUAAAAAUUCUAGCCCCAGUGAUCAUUGCUGAGAAUUUACCAGGAGGACCUUCUAAGGAAUGUGUAUGAAAAGGAAGGUAAAAGACAAGAAUUCUUUUGGGCUACAAAUUUCCUGUUGAAAUUUGGAAUCAUUAUCCACAAAUCUAUCCCAAAAAAAACAAGAAGUAUUCUUAUUCCUCUCCAAGUGGUUGCUCCUUUAGCAACUUGGAGAACCCGAACAUGAAGUAAUCACUUGGUUCCUCUAUAAUGGAAGUUUCUGUAGCUCAUGUUCAAGAUGUGUGUUCAAGUAUCAGUACUGCACAAACUUGAGGAAUUUAUUUUCCAGCCUAGUGGUGAGAUAUUAUUAUCACCAAAGGAAUGAUCCCUUUACAAAUUGGGAUUCGGACAAACUUUACUCAAAAGAAGUUUAUCACUAAGAAUCUAUAUAGAGCAGUCCCGUUGAGGCACUAAACAGGCCAUGGUAGCCGAUAACAGUGGAGAUAUUUGCUUUACAUGUUUUUGUCGUCUCUUGGGAAUCUUUGAAUAAAAGAACUUAGAAUCUCCAUGCUCAGAGGCUUUAAAUUGGUUUAACGAGAGAAUAUCUAAGCCCGGACGAAUGUGCUAAUAUUUGCUUUUGAACAACUGAUGCUUGUGUUACCAAAAAAAAAAAAGAGAACAACUGAUGCUAAUCUUCUACCCAUCUGAGACAGAGCAAGUGGAAGCAUGCAUUAGUAGCAGCAGAGAACUGUGUUCAUAUGUGUUGGUUUUGGUGAUUUUUUUUCAGCAGAGAAUUGUUGUUUUUGUUUUAUUGCAUAAAAAUUAGAAGCAAUGCAGUACAUAACUGUUAAUACUUUGAUUAUGUUGCUGA